AUACAUCUGUGUCUCUUUUUCUGUCUAGCAUAUUGGAACGAUACAGAGAAGAUUAGCAUGGCCCCUGUGCCACUCUGUAUCUUUUGAAGAAAAAAAGAAAACUUAAAAAAUCUUU
ensembl:snRNA U6 U6 spliceosomal RNA